UGCAGUGAGCUGAGAUUGCACCACUGCACUUACACCUGGGAGACAGAGCAAGAAGACUCCAUCUUGAAAAAAACAAAAAGAGUUGGUAUGACUGGUCUGGGCUAACAGUUGUCCUUCUCUUUUUUAGGAUGCACCCAUUGUUGUUUCUUAUGUAGGUGACCACCAAGCAUUAGUUCACAGACCAGGAAUGGUUCGCUUUCGAGAAAACUGGCAGAAGAAUCUUACUGAUGCCAAAUAUAGUUUCAUGGAGUCAUUCCCCUUCUUAUUCAAUCGUGUCUGAUACUUACAGGAUGUCUUAGGAUUGUUUUUCUCAUCAGGAUACAUUAAAAAUACAAUACAGCACGUCAAACCACAGAAUAUUUAUUGAGUAAUAAACUUGUGGCACACAA
rnacentral:lncRNA from 10 species